GAUGAACGCUAGCUACAGGCUUAACACAUGCAAGUCGAGGGGCAGCACAGUGUAGCAAUACACGGGUGGCGACCGGCGCACGGGUGCGUAACACGUAUCCAAUCUGCCCGUUACUCGGGGAUAGCCUUCUGAAAGGAAGAUUAAUACCCGAUGGCAUUCAGUUUCGGCAUCGCUUAUGAAUUAAAGAUUUAUCGGUAACGGAGGAGGAUGCGUACGAUUAGCUGGUUGGCGGGGUAACGGCCCACCAAGGCUACGAUCGUUAGGGGUUCUGAGAGGAAGGUCCCCCACACUGGAACUGAGACACGGUCCAGACUCCUGCGGGAGGCGGCAGUGAGGAAUAUUGGUCAAUGGUCGAGAGACUGAACCAGCCAAGUAGCGUGAAGGAUGACUGCCCUAUGGGUUGUAAACUUCUUUUGUUUGGGAAUAAAGUCAAGUACGUGUACCUGUUUGUAUGUACCAUUCGAAUAAGCAUCGGCUAAUUCCGUGCCAGCCGCCGCCGUAAUAC
rnacentral:rRNA from 1 species